GACCCCUAAGGCGAGGCCGAAAGGCGUAGUCGAUGGGAAACGGGUUAAUAUUCCCGUACUUGGUGUUACUGCGAAGGGGGGACGGAGAAGGCUAUGUUGGCCGGGCGACGGUUGUCCCGGUUUAAGCGUGUAGGUGUGUGUUCCAGGUAAAUCCGGUUCACUUUAACACUGAGGCGUGAUGACGAGGCACUACGGUGCUGAAGCAACAAAUGCCCUGCUUCCAGGAAAAGCCUCUAAGCAUCAGGUAACAUCAAAUCGUACCCCAAACCGACACAGGUGGUCAGGUAGAGAAUACCAAGGCGCUUGAGAGAACUCGGGUGAAGGAACUAGGCAAAAUGGUGCCGUAACUUCGGGAGAAGGCACGCUGACACGUAGGUGAAGUGAUUUACUCAUGGAGCUGAAGUCAGUCGAAGAUACCAGCUGGCUGCAACUGUUUAUUAAAAACACAGCACUGUGCAAACACGAAAGUGGACGUAUACGGUGUGACGCCUGCCCGGUGCCGGAAGGUUAAUUGAUGGGGUCAGCGCAAGCGAAGCUCCUGAUCGAAGCCCCGGUAAACGGCGGCCGUAACUAUAACGGUCCUAAGGUAGCGAAAUUCCUUGUCGGGUAAGUUCCGACCUGCACGAAUGGCGUAAUGAUGGCCAGGCUGUCUCCACCCGAGACUCAGUGAAAUUGAACUCGCUGUGAAGAUGCAGUGUACCCGCGGCAAGACGGAAAGACCCCGUGAACCUUUACUAUAGCUUGACACUGAACAUUGAGCCUUGAUGUGUAGGAUAGGUGGGAGGCUUUGAAGUGUGGACGCCAGUCUGCAUGGAGCCGGCCUUGAAAUACCACCCUUUAAUGUUUGAUGUUCUAACGUGGACCCGUGAUCCGGGUUGCGGACAGUGUCUGGUGGGUAGUUUGACUGGGGCGGUCUCCUCCUAAAGAGUAACGGAGGAGCACGAAGGUUGGCUAAUCCUGGUCGGACAUCAGGAGGUUAGUGCAAUGGCAUAAGCCAGCUUGACUGCGAGCGUGACGGCGCGAGCAGGUGCGAAAGCAGGUCAUAGUGAUCCGGUGGUUCUGAAUGGAAGGGCCAUCGCUCAACGGAUAAAAGGUACUCCGGGGAUAACAGGCUGAUACCGCCCAAGAGUUCAUAUCGACGGCGGUGUUUGGCACCUCGAUGUCGGCUCAUCACAUCCUGGGGCUGAAGUAGGUCCCAAGGGUAUGGCUGUUCGCCAUUUAAAGUGGUACGCGAGCUGGGUUUAGAACGUCGUGAGACAGUUCGGUCCCUAUCUGCCGUGGGCGCUGGAGAACUGAGGGGGGCUGCUCCUAGUACGAGAGGACCGGAGUGGACGCAUCACUGGUGUUCGGGUUGUCAUGCCAAUGGCACUGCCCGGUAGCUAAAUGCGGAAGAGAUAAGUGCUGAAAGCAUCUAAGCACGAAACUUGCCCCGA
rnacentral:rRNA from 1 species